GGAAGGAUGGCAGAGUGGCCGAAUGCGGCGGUCUCGAAAACCGUUAUCCCGUAAGGGAUCGCAGGUUCAAAUCCUGCUCCUUCCGCCA
rnacentral:tRNA from 1 species